UAACGCGAAGAACCUUACCUACCCUUGACAUGCCAGGAAUCCUGCAGAGAUGUGGGAGUGCUCGCAAGAGAGCCUGGACACAGGUGCUGCAUGGCUGUCGUCAGCUCGUGUCGUGAGAUGUUGGGUUAAGUCCCGCAACGAGCGCAACCCUUGCCAUUAGUUGCUACGAAAGGGCACUCUAAUGGGACUGCCGGUGACAAACCGAGGAAGGUGGGGAUGACGUCAAGUCCUCAUGGCCCUUAUGGGUAGGGCUACACACGUCAUACAAUGGCCGGUACAGAGGGCUGCCAACCCGCGAGGGGGAGCCAAUCCCGCAAAACCGGUCGUAGUCCGGAUUGCAGUCUGCAACUCGACUGCAUGAAGUCGGAAUCGCUAGUAAUCGC
rnacentral:rRNA from 1 species